rnacentral:rRNA from 1 species
GACGAACGCUGGCGGCGUGCUUAACACAUGCAAGUCGAACGGAAAGGCCCUGCUUUUGUGGGGUGCUCGAGUGGCGAACGGGUGAGUAACACGUGAGUAACCUGCCCUUGACUUUGGGAUAACUUCAGGAAACUGGGGCUAAUACCGGAUAGGAGCUCCUGCUGCAUGGUGGGGGUUGGAAAGUUUCGGCGGUUGGGGAUGGACUCGCGGCUUAUCAGCUUGUUGGUGGGGUAGUGGCUUACCAAGGCUUUGACGGGUAGCCGGCCUGAGAGGGUGACCGGUGACACUGGAAGUGAGACAGGGUCCAUGGUACUAAGGGAGGGAGCAGAGGGGAAUGUGGGACAGUGGGGGAGAGCCUGGUACAGUGAGGGCGCGUGUGUUAAGGAGGUGUUCGGAGUGGAAAGAAGGUUAAGGGGGGGGAAAGCGCAGUAGGCUGAGACGUUGCGGUAGUGACGGUAACAAGUGAAUAAGCACCGGCUAACUUCGUG